GGCCACGCGCGGGUACGUAUGGUUCUUCUGUCUAUAAGCUGUAAGAAAGUGAAUAUUACGGUAGUGUAUUUUUUGCAACACCAUUCUAUUUCAUACCAAGUCAGCUACAGAUAAUAGUAAUGCGUUUGAUUGAAUUUUGUUAUUUUCUUAGUUAAUUACUCAGUUAACUGGCAGGAAUAAGCGUAUUUACAGGAUAACCGUGCAAGUUUCUUUGAUGUAAUACUGUAACUUUGUUCUAAAAAAUUGUCAACGAGCUCUCUAAACAUUGAAGUUGGUAAAAGCUAGAUUGAAUGUUCUUUUCCAGAUACUGAUUCUUGUAUGAUGGCCACCUGACCAUGAAUGCAGAUGCAAUGCUUCAUGUGCACAAUGUUGUCCACCCUUAUUUUCUGCAGUGUGUUGAUCACGGUUACUUAGAUUGCUUUGUCAUCUCAUGUUAAAACUGUUUGGCUAUGUUGGAUUGAAGUAUUUUGUAAUGUUGCUGUUGCUCUUUUCUGGCACCUGGGUGUGAUGGUGAUUGUGUUUCAAGUUUUGUAAAAAUUGGAAGUUAUGUAAUGUUUUGUUAGACUCUUGCUUUAUUUUGUCAAAGUGAGGAUUGGACAACUAUAAAAUUUUUGUCUUCCAGUUCUGUUGUUAAUCAGCAGAUUAUUGUUUAAAUUAAUUUUUACAUUUGUUUUUCAGUGUAAUGCAAACUGAGGUUUUGUUUGCACAAGGAAGACCAUAUUCUUUACUAAUUAUAUUUAUUAAUACAGUUUGAAUACUUAAUUUAACAAAUGAAAAUUUGUUUUUUAAGGUGUGCUGGAAUAGUUUGCCACUGUACCUGUGCUGCUGAUGUGUCCCAUUCACCAGUUGUGCUUACAAGGUCUUCUGUUGCCAGAGGAAAUUUGGUAGUUGCAUCCUAUGUUUGGAACCUUUGUCAUUGGUAUUUACGAGGUGGAUUUGUAUCGGCAAAUGGAUUUUAUUUGCUUGGCGUUCCACGAAGUGACCAACGCAAUUUCUGGCGUGAUCAUGGUGGUCCUGUGUCAGCAAAAUGAUGGUCCUAUUAGAUUUGUUGGUGUGACGCAUGUUACCAGCCUUCUUCCCGGUGGGAUUAUGGUAAUUGAACCAAAACGUGGGAAAAUCAGCGUGAAAUAACAUCGACAUUAAAUGAUUUACUAUAACAAAACUAAUUUGUCAAAAUACGACAAAUAUUUUAUUUUUGAAUGUAUAGACGGGUUUUAUUUUAUAAAUGAUAGAUGGUAUUCCUUGUCAGCAAUAACAGUGGAAAGAUGGAUGUUAUCAGUGAGACGAAAGGAAAGAUGGCUAUUCGGUGGAAGAAAAAUUCUUUUCAGUUUGCAGAUAGCCUUAAGCUUUUCUAACGCCAAAGUUAUCUAACUUGUCAUUGUUAUAAAAAAAAAUGCAAGUUUGUAUUAUUUUCUGACCCUGUUUUUGUUGACUUGUGAUUAGUAGUUAGCGGUAUGUGCCAUUAUUAUCAGCAGAGAAAGAUAUUAAUGUAAAUUUCGGAAAAGAGAUGUUGGGGGUUUGCAAAGUGCUAUGGUCUCAUUGGGGUUGUUUUGUAUAUUAAUUUUAAGGUAAUGGAAUUGGUAAACUUUUGCUUCUGCUUAAUAAUUUCCUAGGUAAUAUCACCGAUGGAUUAAUCCAGAUGUUUUCAUACAUAAAAUGUGACUAAACUUUUAAUUGUACGAUUUAUAUCCAAUGAAAUAAAUUGUGAAAAUUA